rnacentral:rRNA from 1 species
AGGUAAAGGCUCACCAAGACCGUGAUGCAUAGCCGACCUGAGAGGGUAAUCGGCCACACUGGGACUGAGACACGGCCCAGACUCCUACGGGAGGCAGCAGUAGGGAAUCUUCCACAAUGGACGAAAGUCUGAUGGAGCAACGCCGCGUGAGUGAAGAAGGUUUUCGGAUCGUAAAACUCUGUUGUUGGAGAAGAAUGUAUCUGAUAGUAACUGAUCAGGUAGUGACGGUAUCCAACCAAAAAGCCACGGCUAACUACGUGCCAGCAGCCGCGGUAAUACGUAGCGUGGCAAGUCGUUGUCCGGAUUUAUUGGGUCGUAAAGCGAGCGCAGGCGAGUUUCUUAAGUCUGAU